rnacentral:lncRNA from 1 species
CCCGCCCCGUCGCGCCCGCCAGCUCUCCUGCCAUGGAUUGUGGCAGUAAUUUUAACACAACCCAGUCUCCUGAGCCCAAGAGAUAAGGAAGAAAGAACUAGUCUAGUGCAACUACCAGAGGGACGAGAGUUUAGAUAAAGACUCUUAUUAUGAAAUUGUGCAGCUCUCUUUGGACCCGGGAUCCGGCUUCUCCCACCUGCCCCCUCCUACACUUCUGCUGUUAGACUAGAUUUAGACACGAGGCUGUGCACCCAGAGAAGAAAGAGAACUUGGGAGUCUGGAUUCAGCCAAGGAGAGAGUUCUACUCCAGCUCAUCUGUCUGCACAGGGUCCAUCUCCCUUCCUUCUCCAACUACACAGCCUCCAGGUGCACUGCCUCCCUGGCCUGCCUCUAGCUUUCCCUAGAAAUUCGCUCCUGUGUCCUGGAAUGCACACACUGGACGUCUUGCAUUUCCAACCUUCCUGGCCAGUGAAUAAAUAGAAGUUCUGUACCUUUGUGCCUGGAGGGCCGCCCGGGUAAAUCACCAAGAAGCAGUCAAGCCGAAAACCACCACGAGCGCGAGUAUUACUCUCAGAGCUGACGUUACCUACGAGACUGAAGAUUUGUCUGAUUCGUAAAAACUCCACUGCACAGGUGUGCGGAGUGAAACUUCCUCAUUUAUUUCAAGGACGUUUUAGCUGUCAGGAGCUGGGAAGAAGGUGGCUUUGUUUUUCACAAGACUGCGAUAUUUUUCACUGUUGGACACCGAGAGGUGAUUGCGUGUAUGUAUAUAUAGACACAUCCCCAGUUUGGACCCAAAUCAUAAUAAAUUUAUGUGCUAUUUACA